rnacentral:rRNA from 1 species
CCUACGGGCGGCAGCAGUCGAGAAUCAUUCACAAUGGGGGAAACCCUGAUGGUGCGACGCCGCGUGGGGGAAUGAAGGUCUUCGGAUUGUAAACCCCUGUCAUGUGGGAGCAAAUUAAAAAGAUAGUACCACAAGAGGAAGAGACGGCCAACUCUGUGCAAGCAGCCGCGGUAAUACAGAGGUCUCAAGCGUUGUUCGGAAUCACUGGGCGUAAAGCGUGCGUAGGCUGUUUCGUAAGGCGUGUGUGAAAGGCGCGGGCUCAACCCGCGGACGGCACAUGAUACUGCGAGACUAGAGUAAGGGAGGGGGAACCGGAAUUCUCGGUGUAGCAGUGAAAUGCGUAGAUAUCGAGAGGAACACUCGUGGCGAAGGCGGGUUCCUGGACAUUAACUGACGCUGAGGCACGAAGGCCAGGGGAGCGAAAGGGAUUAGAUACCCUUGUAGUC